UGCGUAGGCGGCUUGGAAAGUUGGGUGUGAAAUCCCUCGGCUCAACCGAGGAAUUGCGCUCAAAACUGCCAAGCUUGAGGGAGAUAGAGGUGAGCGGAACUAAUGGUGGAGCGGUGAAAUGCGUUGAUAUCAUUAGGAACACCGGUGGCGAAAGCGGCUCACUGGGUCUCUUCUGACGCUGAGGCACGAAAGCUAGGGGAGCGAACG
rnacentral:rRNA from 1 species